UAGANUUUGAUCCUGGCUCAGAUUGAACGCUGGCGGCAUGCCUUACACAUGCAAGUCGAACGGUAACGGGUCCUUCGGGAUGCCGACGAGUGGCGAACGGGUGAGUAAUAUAUCGGAACGUGCCCAGUAGUGGGGGAUAACUGCUCGAAAGAGCAGCUAAUACCGCAUACGACCUGAGGGUGAAAGGGGGGGAUCGCAAGACCUCUCGCUAUUGGAGCGGCCGAUAUCAGAUUAGCUAGUUGGUGGGGUAAAGGCCUACCAAGGCAACGAUCUGUAGUUGGUCUGAGAGGACGACCAGCCACACUGGGACUGAGACACGGCCCAGACUCCUACGGGAGGCAGCAGUGGGGAAUUUUGGAUAAUGGGCGCAAGCCUGAUCCAGCAAUGCCGCGUGCAGGAAGAAGGCCUUCGGGUUGUAAACUGCUUUUGUCAGGGAAGAAAUCUUCUGGGCUAAUACCCCGGGAGGAUGACGGUACCUGAAGAAUAAGCACCGGCUAACUACGUGCCAGCAGCCGCGGUAAUACGUAGGGUGCGAGCGUUAAUCGGAAUUACUGGGCGUAAAGCGUGCGCAGGCGGCUUUGCAAGACAGAUGUGAAAUCCCCGGGCUCAACCUGGGAACUGCAUUUGUGACUGCAAGGCUAGAGUACGGCAGAGGGGGAUGGAAUUCCGCGUGUAGCAGUGAAAUGCGUAGAUAUGCGGAGGAACACCAAUGGCGAAGGCAAUCCCCUGGGCCUGUACUGACGCUCAUGCACGAAAGCGUGGGGAGCAAACAGGAUUAGAUACCCUGGUAGUCCACGCCCUAAACGAUGUCAACUGGUUGUUGGACGGCUUGCUGUUCAGUAACAAAGCUAACGCGUGAAGUUGACCGCCUGGGGAGUACGGCCGCAAGGUUGAAACUCAGAGGAAUUGACGGGGACCCGCACAAGCGGUGGAUGAUGUGGUUUAAUUCGAUGCAACGCGAAAAACGUUACCUACCCUUGACAUAUCAAGAAUUCUGCAGAGAUGUGGAAGUGCUCGAAAGAGAACUUGAACACAGGUGCUGCAUGGCCGUCGUCAGCUCGUGUCGUGAGAUGUUGGGUUAAGUCCCGCAACGAGCGCAACCCUUGUCAUUAGUUGCUACGCAAGAGCACUCUAAUGAGACUGCCGGUGACAAACCGGAGGGAGGUGGGGAUGACGUCAGGUCCUCAUGGCCCUUAUGGGUAGGGCUACACACGUCAUACAAUGGCCGGUACCGAGGGCUGCCAACCCGCGAGGGGGAGCCAAUCCCAGAAAACCGGUCGUAGUCCGGAUCGUAGUCUGCAACUCGACUGCGUGAAGUCGGAAUCGCUAGUAAUCGCGGAUCAGCUUGCCGCGGUGAAUACGUUCCCGGGUCUUGUACACACCGCCCGUCACACCAUGGGAGCGGGUUCUGCCAGAAGUAGUUAGCCUAACCGCAAGGAGGGCGAUUACCACGGCAGGGUUCGUGACUGGGGUGAAGUCGUAACAAGGUAACC
rnacentral:rRNA from 1 species